CUCGAAUCUAAAGCCAUCGUCCGCAAUAAUCAAAUCAAAUCUCCAAACCCAAUUCGGAAUUCCUAGUCCGAGUAGGAAAACGAAAGCCAAAACCCUCAAAACCACCAACCAGAAAAUUAGAACUAGUCCUUAACCUACGCACCCCCCAAAAACCCGAACCCAAUCUAAACAUGCGCCACCACAUUCUUCACGAUCCGCGGCUUUGAGGACGACAAAAGAGAAAAGAAAAAUAAAGAAGAAGAAAAAGUUAUAAAAGAAAAGUCGCAUCGCGAGAACUUUCUCAGAAGCCUUCACAUUGAUAACGAUCCAAAGCCCCCUCCCUCUCUCUCUCCGCGCUCAAGUUCCUUAGAAUUUCUUGGUCGUUUCGCUGAGAAUGCGAUUGCAAUUGCCCGGAUCCAAGCUUUUGUCUCUAAAUUCGGAGCAUAAUCGGACUGAGUCUGCUUAGGGUUUUCAAAGAGGUUCAAGAGUCCAGAAGCUAGGGCUAGGGUUAGGUGUCAGUAUGUUGCAGGCGGAGGACAGCUCGAAUUGGAAUCAGUUACCGGCCGCCUAUGGAUUCGCCGGCGUGGAUCUCGACGAUGAGGGUAUGUCGAUGGAUGUAGACACGCUCUUAGGCCUUAUCGCUGAAGAAUCCCCGAGUCGUCCACCGAAUUAUUCAUUGGAAAAUCAAUUGCAAGCUGAAGCAGUUUCCGAUGCUCAGCUCCAAAGUGGAUUUCAAGCGUUGAAAGAAGAACCACCAAUUGAAACUGAUUUAAUGGGUCCAGGCUCUUGGCAUACUCCAUACAGCUUAGAAGCUUCAGAUUCUGGGGCAGGGGUUCCAGACGGCUCUUUUGAAUCUGCAGGGAACCGUGCAAUGAGUUUUGAUUACAAAGAGAUGGAACCAUCAGCACACACUGGUUCUCCUGGGCAUGCCUACUCUACAAGUCUUAAAGACUGGAAUUCCUUGUUUCCAGGCAAUGAGGCUUGCUUUGCAGAGAGGGUUGCAGUUUCACAGCCCACAUGUAGUACGGCAUCUAGUUUUGCUGAAGGGCAUGCUAACCACAUUUUGGACCACAGAGAUCCCAAUGUCCUGCAGGGGAAAGCUGACGUGGCGGGGAAAGUUGAUUCUGAAUAUGCUUCACAAUGCCUUGGUAUUGAGAACAUGGAUCUAAGUUACGGAACCUAUGGCAAUUUCGGGGAGAAUACCAGAGAAACCCAAGGACCUUCAGAAAAUAAUUCCUGCACAUCUAUGGAAACUACUCUCUGUCAAAAUUCUGAUGUUUUCAGUGACCAUUACCCAGCUUUGUGUGGGAUGAGCUUAGAUAAUACGUUUUUGGCUGAUACCUUAAUGCAUCAUAGUCCUACUAGAUAUUAUUUUCCGAGUAAUGAAGAAAUGAUGGCUAAUGUGAAGGAUGAAUCAGGGGAGUUUCCAACUGAUAGUUCAUGUUCAAGUAGUAAGAUGAAUUUAAAUGGUCAGGAGGGAAUAACUGGUAAAUCUGCUUUCCAGCCAUCAAUGAUUGAUGUUUUAGAUGUGAAGGAGUGGAAUUUUGGGUAUGAUAAUUGUAUACCAGCAAUCAGUGGAAAUUCUUCAUUCGAUGCUGACUCUUUUCCUGCUGACAACAAGUCGUCAAUCGAGCCUCUGAGUUCUACUCAGACAUAUAUAUCAAGCAAAAUGGAACCCAUUGGCGUGAAGGAUGAAAUGAUCGAUGAGUUAGUUGCACCUAGUAGUGUUAUGUUCCACCCCUAUCGAGCCAUGGAUGAAGCUGUCAGUAGACAGUCUUCUCUCAGUGCUGAUGAUCACUUUUUUGACAAAGACUCAAAGCUUUCUGGUUUUGGUAUGUCAACUCAGAAUCUUGGUAACCCAGUGGAUCAGAAAGAAGACAUGAUUGUUUCAUAUAAAAGAGCUUGUCAUUUUCAAGAUAAUAUGAAUGGAAGUUCUACAUCCCCCAUUGAUGGUCCAUCUAUGAAUUCAAAUGCCUCAGAACGUUAUUUGCCAGUUGCUCAGCCAUUCACUUCAAGCAAGAAUCAGGCUUACGUUAAGGACGAACAUGAGGAUAAAGUAACUCAUUCUACGAGCAUGCAUCUUUCAAAAGUCAGCCCUGAAUCAAUUCAUAGUAACUUCUCUGACAAGUCUCCUGCAGAAGAUGACUUUGAUGUACGCAUCAUUGAAAAUAUCAGUCAUCCUGCACCCUCAAAUCGCUCUCCAGUGGUUAUUAAUACUAGUUACCAUGUGCCCUUGAAUCGCUUUCCAGCACUUGGAAAUACCCUCGUUAAUUCACAGCAAUUGGCACCUAGUGAUCAUUACACAGGAGUGGGAGGCAUGAGAUGCAAGGCAAGAGAUGAGCAAUUGAUUUUGAGAGUAGCAUUGCAGGACCUUUCACAGCCGAAGUCGGAAGCUAUUCCACCAGAUGGACUUUUAGCAGUUCCUCUAUUACGACAUCAGAGAAUUGCAUUGUCAUGGAUGGUUCAAAAGGAGACAGCUAGUUUGCACUGUUCGGGAGGAAUUCUUGCGGAUGAUCAGGGAUUGGGAAAAACAAUAUCGACAAUUGCACUUAUACUUAAGGAAAGGCCUCCUUCUUAUGGGGCCUGUCAAGAUGUUAAAAAGCUCGAGCUGGAAACUCUUGAUUUGGACAAUGAUGAUGAUAUGCCUUCUGAGAUUGUUGGACGGAAGCAACAUGCUGAUGCCCGUGAAGUUAUCCCAAAUGGAAUUCAAAAGAAGAGCAUGAAACCUUUGGUACAGGCAAAGGGAAGGCCAGCGGCUGGAACACUUGUUGUUUGUCCUACAAGUGUCCUCCGCCAGUGGGCUGAGGAGUUGCAUAAUAAGGUAACUGGAAAAGCUAAUAUCUCUGUGCUAGUUUACCAUGGAAGCAACCGAACGAAGGAUCCUUGUGAGCUUGCUAAGUUUGAUGUUGUCCUCACCACAUAUUCAAUUGUCAGCAUGGAGGUGCCAAAGCAGCCUCUUGUUGAUGAAGAUGAUGAGGAGAAAGUAAAGCCAGAAGAGAAUGAUAUUCCACAUGUGGGUUUCUCAUCCAGUAAGAAAAGGAAAUAUCCUCAAGGUUCUGCUAAUAAAUGUUCAAAGGGUAAAAAGGGAUUAGAGAGUGCAAUGCUUGAGUCUGUUGCUCGCCCUCUUGCUAAGGUUGGAUGGUUUAGGGUUGUCCUGGAUGAGGCUCAGAGUAUUAAGAAUCACAGAACUCAAGUAGCUAGGGCCUGUUGGGGUCUGCGUGCAAAACGCAGGUGGUGCUUAUCAGGGACUCCUAUCCAGAAUGCGAUUGAUGACCUUUAUAGCUACUUUAGAUUUCUCAAAUAUGAUCCUUAUGCUGUAUACAAGUCAUUUUGCUCUACAAUUAAGGUCCCAAUUAGCAAGAAUCCAGCAAAAGGGUACAGAAAACUACAAGCUGUUUUGAAGACAAUUAUGUUACGCCGCACAAAAGGCACACUUCUUGAUGGCGAACCUAUUAUUACUUUACCACCUAAAUUUAUAGAAUUGAAAAGGGUGGAGUUUUCAAAGGAAGAACGAGAUUUCUACUCCAGGCUAGAGGCUGAUUCACGUGCACAGUUUGAGGAAUACGCAGCCGCUGGAACUGUCAAACAAAAUUAUGUUAACAUUUUGUUAAUGCUUUUGCGUCUUCGACAAGCUUGUGAUCACCCUCUUCUUGUUAGACGGUAUGAUUCACAUUCUUUAUGGAGAUCUUCAGUUGAGAAUGCAAAGAAACUUCCCCGUGACAAACAACUUUCGCUUAUGAAUUGUUUAGAAGCUUCUUUGGCAAUAUGCGGCCUCUGCAAUGAUCCACCUGAAGAUGCUGUUGUUUCUGAAUGUGGUCAUGUCUUCUGUAGCCAAUGCAUUUCUGAACAUCUUACUGGUGAUGACAACCAGUGCCCCAACACAAAUUGCAAAGUUAGACUAAAUGUUUCUUCAGUGUUUUCAAAAGCCACUUUGAACAGUUCUCUAUCUGACCAGCCUAAUCCAGAUAGCAUUGGUUCAGAAGUUUUUGAUGCUGUAGAGUCUUUCUAUGAGGAUCACUCAUAUAAUUCUUCAAAAAUUAAGGCUGCUCUUGAGGUUCUGUGUGCAAUGUGUAAACCACAGGCUUGUAUUUCUGGAAAUAGUUGCUUAGAUGAUCGAGUUGAUAGAAAUGCUGGCUGUCCUGAAAAUUCUUCUGAUAUUCGUGUGGUUGAACCACUUGAGGAUGUUCCUAAUAGACAGAACUUGGAUGUGGAGACGUGUUCUAAGAAUUCAAAUAAGGUAGUUAGAGAAAAAGCAAUAGUCUUUUCACAGUGGACAAGGAUGCUGGACUUGCUUGAAGCAUGCCUUAAAACUUCUUCCAUUGAGUAUAGAAGACUCGAUGGAACAAUGUCAGUUGUUGCUAGAGAUAAAGCUGUCAAGGAUUUUAACACCCUUCCGGAGGUGUCAGUUAUGAUUAUGUCCUUGAAAGCAGCUAGUCUUGGUCUCAACAUGGUUGCAGCUUGUCAUGUUCUUCUUUUGGAUCUUUGGUGGAAUCCUACCACAGAAGAUCAAGCAAUUGAUAGAGCACAUCGUAUUGGGCAGACUCGUCCUGUUACAGUUUUACGGUUGACUGUGAGAGAUACUGUUGAAGAUCGUAUUUUGGCCCUUCAGGUACUUUCCUUUUGUUCUUUAUUUUUUCUGUUUUAUUUGUAGUUUAGCUUUUCUAACCACUACAGUACAAGCUUGGAUAAGCUGAAGCGCAAAUGUAUUAGACCAAUGACCACCUUAUGUACUACUCGUACAUUUUUUGUAUGGAGUCAUGGACUGGGGAAGAACAGCAAAAGAAGAGAGAGAUGGUCGCCUCUGCAUUUGGAGAGGAUGAAACUGGUGGUCGCCAGACUCGUCUGACAGUAGAGGAUCUGAAGUACCUGUUUAUGAUGUGAUUAGAGAGUUUUUAUAGGUUGAGCAGAUUUUGUUUUGCUAACACAAAAGGUAUUGUCAAUAGGUUUGUUUUUGGCAUUGGCAGCAGCAGAAUUGAUAGUUGAAGAAGAUUAUCUGACCAUAGAUCUAAAAGGAGUAGCAUGGGGCUUUAUCAACAAGAAGAUUAUGUUCAUAGUCU